GACGAACGCUGGCGGCGUGCUUAACACAUGCAAGUCGAACGGGAAGGCCCUGCUUUUGUGGGGUGCUCGAGUGGCGAACGGGUGAGAAACACGUGAGUAACCUGCCCUUGACUUUGGGAUAACUUCAGGAAACUGGGGCUAAUACCGGAUAGGAGCUCCUGCUGCAUGGUGGGGGUUGGAAAGUUUCGGCGGUUGGGGAUGGACUCGCGGCUUAUCAGCUUGUUGGUGGGGUAGUGGCUUACCAAGGCUUUGACGGGUAGCCGGCCUGAGAGGGUGACCGGCCACAUUGGGACUGAGAUACGGCCCAGACUCCCACGGGAGGCAGCAGUGGGGAAUAUUGCACAAUGGGCGGAAGCCUGAUGCAGCAACGCCGCGUGCGGGAUGACGGCCUUCGGGUUGUAAACCGCUUUCGCCUGUGACGAAGCGUGAGUGGCGGUAAUGGGUAAAGAAGCACCGGCUAACUACGUG
rnacentral:rRNA from 1 species